rnacentral:rRNA from 1 species
UACGGGAGGCAGCAGUCGGGAAUAUUGCGCAAUGGAGGAAACUCUGACGCAGUGACGCCGCGUAUAGGAAGAAGGUUUUCGGAUUGUAAACUAUUGUCGAUAGGGAAGAAAAAAGACGGUACCUAUCAAGAAAGCUCCGGCUAACUACGUGCCAGCAGCCGCGGUAAU